CCUACGGGAGGCAGCAGUGGGGAAUAUUGCACAAUGGGGGAAACCCUGAUGCAGCGACGCCGCGUGAGUGAAGAAGUAUUUCGGUACGUAAAGCUCUAUCAGCAGGGAAGAAAAUGACGGUACCUGACUAAGAAGCCCCGUCUAACUACGUGCCAGCAGCCGCGGUAAUACGUAGGGGGCAAGCGUUAUCCGGAUUUACUGGGUGUAAAGGGAGCGUAGACGGCAGCGCAAGUCUGGAGUGAAAUCCCAUGGCUUAACCAUGGAAGUGCUUUGGAAACUGUGCAGCUAGAGUGCAGGAGAGGUAAGCGGAAUUCCUAGUGUAGCGGUGAAAUGCGUAGAUAUUAGGAGGAACACCAGUGGCGAAGGCGGCUUACUGGACUGUAACUGACGUUGAGGCUCGAAAGCGUGGGGAGCAAACAGGAUUAGAUACCCGAGUAGUC
rnacentral:rRNA from 1 species